rnacentral:ncRNA from 2 species
CUUAAAUCCAUACAGUUAGACCAAAGCGAUAAAACACCAUAGUUAAACGGGAAACUGGCAGGCCUAUGGCCCCUCCAGUGCUGCCCCCGCAACGGUAGGAUGAGGACACCACUAUCAGCCACUGCUGUCACACCAGUGCUUUCUGGCCGAAUCUGAUGUUUGAUUAAACCGGUUUUAAUUCAGCAUCCAGAUCACAAGAAAGAAAUACUGGCUUAUCGGUGGGAAGGCGUGGUGUAUUCGCGAGAAUUUCGCCCCAUCAAGCCCGGAGACCGGCCUGACGAUUCAUUAUUCA